AUCUCCACACCGCGUACUGUCUAGAUGACCGUCGAGGUAGAUAGUAUGCGGCGUGAAGACCU
rnacentral:pre_miRNA from 1 species